GACGAACGCUGGCGGCGUGCUUAACACAUGCAAGUCGAACGGAAAGGCCCUGCGUGUGUGGGCUGCUCGAGUGGCGAACGGGGGAGUAACACGUGAGUAACCUGCCCUUGACUUUGGGAUAACUUCAGGAAACUGGGGCUAAUACCGGAUAGGAGCUCCUGCUGCAUGGUGGGGGUUGGAAAGUUUCGGCGGUUGGGGAUGGACUCGCGGCUUAUCAGCUUGUUGGUGGGGUAGUGGCUUACCAAGGCUUGGACGGGUAGCCGGCCUGGGAGGGUGACCGGCCACCUUGGGACUGAGGUGCGGCCCAGACUCCUACGGGAGGCAGCAGUGGGGAAUACUGCACCAUGGGCGGAAGCCUGAUGCAGCAACGCCGCGUGCGGGAUGACGGCCUUCGGGUUGUAAACCGCUUUCGCCUGUGACGAAGCGUGAGUGACGGUAAUGGGUAAAGAAGCACCGGCUAACUACGUG
rnacentral:rRNA from 1 species